rnacentral:rRNA from 1 species
UACGUAGGGGGCUAGCGUUGUCCGGAAUCAUUGGGCGUAAAGAGCGUGUAGGCGGUCCGGUAAGUCCGCUGUGAAAGUCGGGGGCUCAACCCUCGAAUGCCGGUGGAUACUGUCGGGCUAGAGUACGGAAGAGGCGAGUGGAAUUCCUGGUGUAGCGGUGAAAUGCGCAGAUAUCAGGAGGAACACCUAUUGCGAAGGCAGCUCGCUGGGACGUAACUGACGCUGAGGCACGAAAGCGUGGGGAUCAAACAGG